AGAGCGAACGCUGGCGGCAGGCCUAACACAUGCAAGUCGAGCGCCCGUAGCAAUACGGGAGCGGCAGACGGGAUAGUAACACGUGGGAACGCGCCCUUCGGUUCGGAAUAACUCAGGGAAACUUGAGCUAAUACCGGAUACGCCCUUACGGGGAAAGAUUUAUUGCCGAAGGAACGGCCCGCGUCCGAUUAGCUAGUUGGUGAGGUAAUGGCUCACCAAGGCGACGAUCGGUAGCUGGUCUGAGAGGAUGACCAGCAUCACUGGGACUGAGACACGGCCCAGACUCCUACGGGAGGCAGCAGUGGGGAAUAUUGGACAAUGGGCGCAAGCCUGAUCCAGCCAUGCCGCGUGGAUGAUGAAGGCCUUAGGGUUGUAAAGUCCUUUUAACGGGGAAGAUAAUGACGGUACCCGUAGAAUAAGCCCGGCUAACUUCGCGCUAGCAGCCGC
rnacentral:rRNA from 1 species